GGUUUUGGGUUUGCACUUCUCUUCGACUCCCGACUGCUUCUGCGCCUUGCAUCUCUGCCUUUGCCUCUGCAAUCUGCAUCUCUGCCUUUGCCUUUGCGACUGCGACUGCCUGCUUGCAUCUCUGCCUCUGUGACUGUGACCUCACUGAGUCACUGCUUGCCUUGCAUCCCCAGAUCCCCUUCAUCUGCAAGCCCUAAUCUCUGCAAAUCAAAAGCUCUGCAAAACAGACUUGGCAAAUCAUUCACAUGCUCUUCGUUCCAGCUAAUAUGGUUUUAAGGGCAUAUCAUACAAAAAGAUGCAUUUUGGAACCUUUUAGAGCACAAUUGAGCUUGGAUUGGACAUCACAUACUUGGAGCCAAGAGGAUGGACGAAAUUGAAGAUUUGAAGAUGAUGUUUCCUACUUGAACAAGGUUUCCUUGUUGAAGUAGGAAAGUC
rnacentral:sRNA from 1 species